GAAUUCAGACUCUGCUGUUCGACAGUUCAUGUCUACUGUGUAUGUGAAAAGUUGGAAAUCGCAAGGAGUUUUACGUGCAAGUGUUGUGCCACAACUCAUUAAUACCAUAGUAGUCCCAUUCUGCCCCAUAAUAUUCGUUCUCUGAGUAUAUGCAAGGCUAUAAAAGUUGAACAACACUCGUUCCAUUUGGAAGAAAUUCUGACUGGAAUAAUAUUAUUCCUAUCAUUCCUAUACUAUCUACAGAAGCUAGUUAAACUCAAACAAGAAAGCGAGCAAGACUCCAGUUGCCUUCUGAACAAAUAACUCUGGGAUCUGGAUGGAAUACUAUUGUCUCCUAAGUAAAGCCCUUAUAUUCAUCAGUUUAACUAAACUAUAGGUGUCAUUAUGGAUGAUGAUGAGUUUCAGUGGCCUGAUGAAGCUCCAGAGGUAAUGAUUGCUGCUGAUGAAGUUGAGACUGGGGCCUCUAAUGAUGAGAAUUUCGUCACUGACUCUAAUGGCGAAAAGGCUGAUUCCAACCAUCAACAGCCACCACUAGCAGCAACGGCCAAGAACACGGCAAUUAA